AACUCCGUGGUUCUCUGAAAGAAGCAAUAGUAGCAAUCUUUUAGUGGAUCAUGAGGGAAAA
ensembl:miRNA mdo-mir-7317 mdo-mir-7317